rnacentral:rRNA from 1 species
GUGCCAGCAGCCGCGGUAAUACAGAGGCCUCAAGCGUUAGGCGGAAUCACUGGGCUUAAAGCGUGUGUAGGUGGAUGCCUAAGUGUUUUGUGAAAUCCCACGGCUUAACCGUGGAAUUGCUUGACAUACUGGGUGUCUUGAGCCACUCAGGGGCUACCGGAACUAACGGUGGAGCGGUGAAAUGCGUAGAUAUCGUUAGGAACGCCAAUGGUGAAAACAGGUAGCUGGGGGUGUGCUGACACUGAGACACGAAAGCCAGGGGAGCAAACGGGAUUAGAAACCCCGGUAGUCC